rnacentral:rRNA from 1 species
UAGGGAAUCUUCCGCAAUGGACGCAAGUCUGACGGAGCAACGCCGCGUGAGUGAAGAAGGAUUUCGGUUCAUAAAACUCUGUUGUUAGAGAAGAACAGCGCAUAGAGUAACUGUUAUGCGUGUGACGGUAUCUAACCAGAAAGCCACGGCUAACUACGUGCCAGCAGCCGCGGUAAUACGUAGGUGGCAAGCGUUGUCCGGAUUUAUUGGGCGUAAAGCGAGCGCAGGCGGUCAAUUAAGUCUGAUGUGAAAGCCCCCGGCUCAACCGGGGAGGGUCAUUGGAAACUGGUUGACUUGAGUGCAGAAGAGGAGAGUGGAAUUCCAUGUGUAGCGGUGAAAUGCGUAGAUAUAUGGAGGAACACCAGUGGCGAAGGCGACUCUCUGGUCUGUAACUGACGCUGAGGCUCGAAAGCGUGUGUAGCAAACAGG